UGCUUAGAAAGUGGUAUGAUG
rnacentral:siRNA from 1 species